GAUUCAGAAGUGAAAUUGAUGCUCCUCAUAGCAUGGGAUUCAGCAACCACUGAAGUAAGCCAUGAGUUAUUGUAUUUUGAUCAAGAUGGGAGUUGUGGAUUGAGCCUUGCACUGCAGGUGAAGGUACUGGCCUCCUAAGCCUUCAUAGCACAUAUAGACAUGAUCUUAAAAUUUACAGCUCUGAUUGU